AUAUUCCUGGCAAAGAGAAAUUUCUCAAGCAAGAAUUUAGCUAGGACUGUCUGGGAGUGUUCUGAGUCGGGAGGGGAAAAUUGAAAACGAGCUGUUUUUGGCGGAGGUUUGGACAUCUUUCUUAUUGGUCUAUUGAUACCACCACUAUCAUAAUUUUCGCAAAUUCACAGUAUUAUGCCAACCUUAUAGUGUGGAAAUAUAUAUAAACAUCGUGUUUUUGACUGCACUGGGCCUAAAAAGAUUAACCUUAGCAUCAGGUACUCUUGUGUUUAUAAAGUAUCUCCAUUUAAAGGCCUAGUGCAGUCACACACAAUUCCAGAGUGUUAUUUCUACCUCAAUGUACUAAUUUUAACAAUUACAUUUACUUUUGAAACUUAAGUAUAUUUAAAACCAAGUACUUUUUUACUUUUACUCAAGUAGUAUUUUGCUAGGAGACUUUAACUUUUACAAUUGGGUACUUUUCCCCCCCACUGCAAACAGGCUAUUAUUACAGUAACUAACUACAUUGUCUACACAGUAAGUAUAGCUAGGUCGUUGUUUUCUAUAAUAAACUACGUACAAUACGUUGUAACACGGAACAAAAUAAAGUUUGCGCCAGAAGGGGUCCGUUUUUCAGCUUUUCUCAGAUGCAAUUUGUCCAUUGCCAUGUCUUGCUUGAAAGCUUGAAGAUAAUAAUUAGUUGUAUGCCCAUUCGUUUUCAUUGCAGCCCUGUUUGAACGCAUAGUUACGCUAACUCCGUAUUCACAAUGUAGCUAGUUAUCGUGUGUCUGCAUUGCCAGUGCUUAGUUUGGCUGGAAGCAGGUUAAGUCUUGAGCAGGCAACCUCUGUGAAUUUUAAUGUAGUUUGCAAAAGUUCAAUCAGGAAGGCUGGUCUGAAAGCUCAUUUAACUUAAGCGUUUCACUCUGUUUCCCAGCAAAGGGUUACCAGCAUCUGUCAUCAGCAUUCAUCGGAGACGUGGCCGUACCUCAUUAAGACAUGUCCAUAUUGUAUUCUGUUUCUGUUGUUCAUUCAGUUAUUUAAGCAUGUACUCGAUUGAAAUACUGUUGCAGCCGUCAACAGGCAAUAACUAGCUACAGGAGAUGUUAGAAUUAAUACAUAUUUAACUCUAACCUAUUUUUCUGGAAUUUGUCUUAAGCAUAAAAAUAUCCUGCCUCUUCUUCACCAGUGAAUCAAUGAGGAUGUACAAGCAGCACUUCGGUGCUAAAGGGUCAUCGCUGAUGAAAGGCCUGCAAAAUGAGGAGGAGGAGCUACUUGAGGAUGAAGAGUAUGAGAUUGAGACACAGACACACAUACACAGGACAGACAGGUGAACAUCGACUGGCAGAGAAGCAGCUGAACUGGUUCCUCCCUAACCCUUCUAGUUUGAUGCUGACAGAGGUGGCUGCUAUACAUGCUAAACUGGUGGUGCAGGUCGUAGAAAUGCUCUAGCCUGGUCCCAGAUCCCUCUAGCCGGGUCUUGCUAACUCCUAAUGUAUGAUAUGGUUAUGAUAGUAAUGUAGGCCCUAACUUGCACUUUGUUUUUAGGUUUGAAUGAGACAAUAUAUUCCCCUAACCUUAUUCUUUUAAUAAAGUUAUUGUUUAUGGAUAUUAUA